CAGCAGCCACGGUAAUACGUAGGGUGCAAGCGUUAAUCGGAAUUACUGGGUGUAAAGCGUGCGCAGGCGGUUUGUUAAGACAGAUGUGAAAUCCCCGGGCUCAACCUGGGAACUGCAUUUGUGACUGGCAAGCUAGAGUGUGGCAGAGGGGGGUGGAAUUCCGCGUGUAGCGGUGAAAUGCGUAGAGAUCGGGAGGAACACCUGUGGCGAAAGCGGCUCACUGGACCAUUUCUGACGCUGAUGCACGAAAGCUAGGGGAGCAAACAGGAUUAGAUACCCCUGUAGUCCCUGUCUCUUAUAC
rnacentral:rRNA from 1 species